UGAUUAGGGAUGUUAAUGGAUAUGGAUACCCGAAAUUUUAUUCGAAUCCGAACCCGAAUGAAACGGAUAUAUCCGAUGGAUAUGGAUAUGGAUUUUGAUAUGGAUAUAAAAAAUAAAAAUCCGACGGAUAUGGAUUCGGAUAUAAAUUUUGAUUGUACCCGACCCAAACCCGAUCCGAACUCGAAUUUAUUUUGUAUUAUAAUAUAUAUAUAAAUUUGAUGUUAUAUUUGAAUUUGUAUUUUAAAAAUUUAAAUUUAAUAUAAUAUAUUUUGAAAUAUUGAAAAAAGAAAUAAUUGUUUCGGGUUCAAAUUUUCGGGUUCGGGUUCGGGUUCGGGUUUCGGAUUUUUGGUCGGGUUCGGGUUUGGAUAUGGAUUUUUAAAAUCCGUCGGAUUCGGGUUCAGGUUCGGGUCUCGGGUUUGGAUUCGGGUUCGGGUUCGGGUUUUUAAAAAUCCGCCCCGAAUCCGACCCGUUGACAUCUCUACACAUGAUCAUA
rnacentral:lncRNA from 1 species